GAUGAACGCUGGCGGCGUGCCUAAUACAUGCAAGUCGAGCGAACGGACGAGAAGCUUGCUUUUCUGAUGUUAGCGGCGGACGGGUGAGUAACACGUGGAUAACCUACCUAUAAGACUGGGAUAACUUCGGGAAACCGGAGCUAAUACCGGAUAAUAUUUUGAACCGCAUGGUUCAAAAGUGAAAGACGGUCUUGCUGUCACUUAUAGAUGGAUCCGCGCUGCAUUAGCUAGUCGGUAAGGUAACGGCUUACCAAGGCAACGAUGCAUAGCCGACCUGAGAGGGUGAUCGGCCACACUGGAACUGAGACACGGUCCAGACUCCUACGGGAGGCAGCAGUAGGGAAUCUUCCGCAAAGGGCGAAAGCCUGACGGAGCAACGCCGCGUGAGUGAUGAAGGUCUUCGGAUCGUAAAACUCUGUUAUUAGGGAAGAACAUAUGUGUAAGUAACUGUGCACAUCUUGACGGUACCUAAUCAGAAAGCCACGGCUAACUACGUG
rnacentral:rRNA from 1 species